rnacentral:rRNA from 1 species
GACGAACGCUGGCGGCGUGCUUAACACAUGCAAGUCGAACGAAGAGCGAUGGAAGCUUGCUUCUAUCAAUCUUAGUGGCGAACGGGUGAGUAACGCGUAAUCAACCUGCCCUUCAGAGGGGGACAACAGUUGGAAACGACUGCUAAUACCGCAUACGAUCUAACCUCGGCAUCGAGGAAAGAUGAAAGGUGGCCUCUAUUUAUAAGCUAUCACUGAAGGAGGGGAUUGCGUCUGAUUAGCUAGUUGGAGGGGUAACGGCCCACCAAGGCGAUGAUCAGUAGCCGGUCUGAGAGGAUGAACGGCCACAUUGGGACUGAGACACGGCCCAGACUCCUACGGGAGGCAGCAGUGGGGAAUCUUCCGCAAUGGACGAAAGUCUGACGGAGCAACGCCGCGUGAGUGAUGACGGCCUUCGGGUUGUAAAGCUCUGUUAAUCGGGACGAAAGGCCUUCUUGCGAACAGUUGAAGGAUGACGGUACCG